GGGGGGGGGGGGGGGGGGGGGGGGGGGGGGGAGGGGGGGGGGGGGGGGGUGGCGGGGGCGGGGACCGGCGCACGGGUGCGUGACGCGUGUGCAACCUCCCUUUCACAGGGGGAUAGCCCGAAGAAAUGUGGAGUAAUACCCCAUAAUAUUAUUGGAUGGCAUCAUUUGAUAAUUAAAACUGCGGUGGUGAACGAUGGGCAUGCGUCCUAUUAGCUAGUUGGAGUGGGAACGGCACCCCAAGGCUACGAUAGGUAGGGGUCCUGAGAGGGAGACCCCCCACACGGGUACGGAGACAGGGACCAGACUCCUACGGGAGGCAGCAGUGAGGAAUAUUGGUCAAUGGUCGGAAGACUGAACCAGCCAUGCCGCGUGCAGGAAGAAUGCCUUAUGGGUUGUAAACUGCUUUUAUAUGGGAAGAAUAAGGCGUACGUGUACGUUGAUGACGGUACCAGAUGAAUAAGCAUCGGCUAACUCCGUG
rnacentral:rRNA from 1 species